rfam:Picea glauca, whole genome shotgun sequence.
GAGAGCCGUGUGAUGGGUUACUAUCCAGCACGGUUCGGAGAGCACUUGUGUAGCCUGCACCGGUUCACGAGACACAGAAAGGGGCCUCUUCGCUUUGCUUGCCGUCCGCCUUUGCCCUCGUAGAGCCAGCCAAGCGGGGCGAGCCCCCGCAGGUGUACCCUUGACUCUCU